rnacentral:rRNA from 1 species
UUACAGGCUUAACACAUGCAAGUCGAGGGGCAGCAUGGUCUUAGCUUGCUAAGGCCGAUGGCGACCGGCGCACGGGUGAGUAACACGUAUCCAACCUGCCGUCUACUCUUGGACAGCCUUCUGAAAGGAAGAUUAAUACAAGAUGGCAUCAUGAGUCCGCAUGUUCACAUGAUUAAAGGUAUUCCGGUAGACGAUGGGGAUGCGUUCCAUUAGAUAGUAGGCGGGGUAACGGCCCACCUAGUCUUCGAUGGAUAGGGGUUCUGAGAGGAAGGUCCCCCACAUUGGAACUGAGACACGGUCCAAACUCCUACGGGAGGCAGCAGUGAGGAAUAUUGGUCAAUGGGCGCAGGCCUGAACCAGCCAAGUAGCGUGAAGGAUGACUGCCCUAUGGGUUGUAAACUUCUUUUAUAAAGGAAUAAAGUCGGGUAUGGAUACCCGUUUGCAUGUACUUUAUGAAUAAGGAUCGGCUAACUCCGUGCCAGCAGCCGCGGUAAUACGGAGGAUCCGAGCGUUAUCCGGAUUUAUUGGGUUUAAAGGGAGCGUAGAUGGAUGUUUAAGUCAGUUGUGAAAGUUUGCAGCUCAACCGUAAAAUUGCAGUUGAUACUGGAUAUCUUGAGUGCAGUUGAGGCAGGCGGAAUUCGUGGUGUAGCGGUGAAAUGCUUAGAUAUCACGAAGAACUCCGAUUGCGAAGGCAGCCUGCUAAGCUGCAACUGACAUUGAGGCUCGAAAGUGUGGGUAUCAAACAGGAUUAGAUACCCUGGUAGUCCACACGGUAAACGAUGAAUACUCGCUGUUUGCGAUAUACAGCAAGCGGCCAAGCGAAAGCGUUAAGUAUUCCACCUGGGGAGUACGCCGGCAACGGUGAAACUCAAAGGAAUUGACGGGGGCCCGCACAAGCGGAGGAACAUGUGGUUUAAUUCGAUGAUACGCGAGGAACCUUACCCGGGCUUAAAUUGCAGAUGAAUUACGGUGAAAGCCGUAAGCCGCAAGGCAUCUGUGAAGGUGCUGCAUGGUUGUCGUCAGCUCGUGCCGUGAGGUGUCGGCUUAAGUGCCAUAACGAGCGCAACCCUUGUUGUCAGUUACUAACAGGUUCCGCUGAGGACUCUGACAAGACUGCCAUCGUAAGAUGUGAGGAAGGUGGGGAUGACGUCAAAUCAGCACGGCCCUUACGUCCGGGGCUACACACGUGUUACAAUGGGGGGUACAGAGGGCCGCUACCACGCGAGUGGAUGCCAAUCCCCAAAACCUCUCUCAGUUCGGACUGGAGUCUGCAACCCGACUCCACGAAGCUGGAUUCGCUAGUAAUCGCGCAUCAGCCACGGCGCGGUGAAUACGUUCCCGGGCCUUGUACACACCGCCCGUCAAGCCAUGGGAGCCGGGGGUACCUGAAGUGCGUAACCGCGAGGAGCGCCCUAGGGUAAAACUGGUGACUG